GGCUCAACCGGUAGACCCGUUGGAAAAUUCUGUUCUCGCGUAAUGACGUGAUCGGCAAAAUCAGAUACAACCAUACCAUCGUUAAUUAACGGACUGGCAAGAGCCUUGAUUAUGUCAUUCUGACUCACCUCUUUAGGGAGGUGGCGAACAUAAUGACGGCGAAAAUGAAUAUCCUGCAUAGAUUCCUCUUUGCUAGUCAGGCAUCCAGGCGCUGUAAAAUAGUGCCAAGAUAAUAUUUAUUACCUUUUAACCAGACGUUACCAAAAUCAAUGGCCAAUCCUCUAGAGAAAAAUACCAACUGUUCCAAAUGCAAAACAGGUGCGUCUUCACCAAUAUCAAGAUAAUGGCCUCGCUCAUUACCAAUUAAUUUAGCUGCGUAACGGCUUUCAGAAAAACUUAUUUUCUUAUCAGAUAAUCUUUCUAUUGC
rnacentral:misc_RNA from 1 species